UGCCCGAAUAGCUUAUAAAAUAGAGCAUAGCACUGAAGAUGCUAAGGAAACUAGUAAAGUUUUCAGGCAAC
rnacentral:tRNA from 1 species